UGCGUAGGCGGGUCUUUAAGUCAGGGUGAAAUCCUGGAGCUCAACUCCAGAACUGCCUUUGAUACUGAAGAUCUUGAGUUCGGGAGAGGUGAGUGGAACUGCGAGUGUAGAGGUGAAAUUCGUAGAUAUUCGCAAGAACACCAGUGGCGAAGGCGGCUCACUGGCCCGAUACUGACGCUGAGGCACGAAAGCGUGGGGAGCAAACA
rnacentral:rRNA from 1 species